CGUCCAUUGACCGCAAUGGUGCAUGCAAGGAUUUCAACGGCCAAAAAAUAACCCAUCGUGGUAUAAUUGCCUCAGGUCAGAGAAGGCUACCCGCUGGGACUAA
rnacentral:rRNA from 1 species